ACCUUGCUGACGAAUACCAAAUAGCACGAAACCUGGGUCCAGGGU
rfam:Schistosoma haematobium C9915415_1, whole genome shotgun sequence.